GUUGUUGUGGCCGAGUGGUUAAGGCGAUGGAUUCAAAAUCCAUUAGGGGCUCCUCUCGCAGGUUCGAAUCCUGUCGACAAAGGACA